rnacentral:rRNA from 1 species
GUAAGAGCUGCUUGACUGGACGUUACCCACAGAAGAAGCACCGGCUAACUCCGUGCCAGCAGCCGCGGUAAUACGGAGGGUGCGAGCGUUAAUCGGAAUUACUGGGCGUAAAGGGUGCGUAGGUGGUGUGAUAAGUUAGCUGUGAAAUCCCUGGGCUUAACCUGGGAAGGUCAGCUAAGACUGUUAUACUCGAGUAUGGGAGAGGGUAGUGGAAUUUCCGGUGUAGCGGUGAAGUGCGUAGAGAUCGGAAGGAACACCAGUGGCGAAGGCGGCUACCUGGCCUAAUACUGACACUGAGGCACGAAAGCGUGGGGAGCAAACAGGAUUAGAUACCCUGGUAGUCCACGCUGUAAACGAUGUCAACUAGCUGUUGGCCUUAUGAAUGAGGUUAGUGGCGCAGCAAACGCGAUAAGUUGACAUCGU